UUAUGAAAUUAUAGGAAAGACCACACGUAGAAAAACAAGAACUUAUCUUACUGGAAAAGCUUUAGACAAUUUACUUGACCAAAUAUAUGAUAUUCCUCCACUUGAUGAUGAAAACCAAACUGUUACUGUACAUGAUGAUAAAUACAAAAUAAUUUACAAAGCUACUCGU